rnacentral:rRNA from 1 species
GACGAACGCUGGCGGCGUGGAUUAGGCAUGCAAGUCGGACGGUAGGGCUUUAUCGUAAGAUAGAGUUUGAGAGUGGCGAACGGGUGAGUAACACGUAGGAAUCUACCCUUAAGACGGGGACAACCCAGGGAAACUUGGGCUAAUACCGGAUGAGAGUGCGAGAGAUUGCAUUUAAAAGGAUGGCGAAAGUUAUCGCUUAGGGAUGAGCCUGCGGUCUAUUAGUUAGUUGGUGGGGUAAGAGCUCACCAAGGCGAAGAUGGUUAGGGGUUUUGAGAGAGAGAUCCCCCACAUUGGAACUGAGAUACGGUCCAGACUCCUACGGGAGGCAGCAGUAGGGAAUAUUGGGCAAUGGGCGGAAGCCUGACCCAGCCAUGCCGCGUGAAGGAAGACGGCCUUAUGGGUUGUAAACUUCUUUACUAUGCGACUAACUAGAUUUACGAGAUAAUUCUAUAGAAUGUAGCAUAGCAAAAGCACCGGCUAACUCCGUG